rnacentral:misc_RNA from 1 species
GAACCAGUGGAUCUCCAAAUGAUGGGGCUGCGAAGAGGACUGCGAGUACUUCUCCAUCCGCUUCUCAAAAGGUGUCGGUGUCUCCUUCCACUUGGUGGAGUACACAAACUCCACCUCAACAUCCUUAUCCUCUGUAAUGUCCACCAACACAUUCGGGUCCGUAUGUGCAUUGAUCUCAAUCACCCGGUCAUUAUUAUACAAGAUCUCAAAGUGGAUAUGCCGGUAAAGGUAAUACUUAUACUCGCUCGGGUCAGUCCUCCUUUCCUUGUCAACCUUCCCGAUGAACCCCCAGAUAGGAAGAUCAUCAUAAUACAUCUGAAAAUAAUAAUCCUUCGCAACCGCACUCCGGAACUUCGCCACAUCCUCCUUCGUAAGCUGCUUCUUGCACACCGAUCUCGAUUCAUGAUCAACCCGGAAAUCCAGCUUGUAAGGGGCGUCGACAAGCCGAUCUCCGUUCAGAACUUCGCCGAGAGCCUCCGGUUUAUCCUUCAAAUGAUCUGGAACACAGAAUGGCAGAUCGAAGUAUCGGUAUGUUUCGCUGGGGUUGUGGAAGGGG